UCCCUGGUAGCUCAGAUGGUAAAGCGUCUGCCUACAAUGUGGGAGACCCAGGUUCGAUCCCUGGGUUGGGAA
rnacentral:tRNA from 1 species